rnacentral:tRNA from 1 species
GCCCCCGUAGCUCAGGGGAUAGAGCACUUGCCUCCUAAGCGAGGGGUCGCAGGUUCAAGUCCUGCCGGGGGCGCCA